rnacentral:rRNA from 1 species
GACGAACGCUGGCGGCGUGCUUAACACAUGCAAGUCGAACGAUGAAGCCUAGCUUGCUAGGUGGAUUAGUGGCGAACGGGUGAGUAAUACGUGAGUGACCUACCUUUGACUCUGGGAUAAGCCUGGGAAACUGGGUCUAAUACCGGAUACGACCAAUCUCCGCAUGGGGUGUUGGUGGAAAGCGUUAUGGAGUGGUUUUAGAUGGGCUUACGGCCUAUCAGCUUGUUGGUGAGGUAAUGGCUUACCAAGGCGACGACGGGUAGCCGGCCUGAGAGGGUGACCGGCCACACUGGGACUGAGACACGGCCCAGACUCCUACGGGAGGCAGCAGUGGGGAAUAUUGCACAAUGGGCGCAAGCCUGAUGCAGCGACGCCGCGUGAGGGAUGACGGCCUUCGGGUUGUAAACCUCUGUUAGCAUCGAAGAAGCGAAAGUGACGGUAGGUGCAGAGAAAGCGCCGGCUAACUACGUG